UACGGAGGGUGCAAACGUUGCUCGGAAUCAUUGGGCGUAAAGCGCACGUAGGCGGACUGUUAAGUCGGAUGUGAAAUCCCUCAGCUUAACUGAGGAAGUGCACUCGAAACUGGCAGUCUUGAGUAUGGAAGAGGGUCGCGGAAUUCCCGGUGUAGAGGUGAAAUUCGUAGGUAUCGGGAGGAACACCAGUGGCGAAGGCGGCGACCUGGGCCAAUACUGACGCUGAGGUGCGAAAGCGUGGGGAGCAAACAGG
rnacentral:rRNA from 1 species